AGCAGCCGCGGUAAUUCCAGCUCCAAUAGCGUAUAUUAAAGUUGUUGCAGUUAAAAAGCUCGUAGUUGAAUUUCGGAACCGAUGGAUCGGUCACGCCAUUCGGUGUGUACUGGUUUAAUUGGUUCUCACCUUCUAAGGAACCGUGAUGUCAUUAAUUUGGUGUCGCGGGGAAUUAGGACUGUUACCUUGAAAAAAUUAGAGUGUUUAAAGCAAGCUCACGCUUGAAUACAUUAGCAUGGAAUAAUGAAAUAGGACAUUGUAUUCUAUUUUGUUGGUUUCUAGGAUCGAUGUAAUGAUUAAUAGGGAUAGUUGGGGGCAUUAGUAUUCAAUUGUCAGAGGUGAAAUUCUUGGAUUUAUUGAAGACUAACUACUGCGAAAGCAUUUGCCAAGGAUGUUUUCAUUAAUCAAGAACGA
rnacentral:rRNA from 1 species